rnacentral:pre_miRNA from 1 species
AACAUACUACCUCCGUCCGGAAAUACUUGUCAUCAAAAUGAAUAAAAGAGGAUGUAUCUAGAUGUAUAUUAGUUCUAGAUACAUCCAUUUUUAUCCAUUUUGAUGACAAGUAUUUUCGGACGGAGGGAGUAUCUG